GUGGAACUUUAAGCAUAUCAAUAAGCGGAGGA
rnacentral:rRNA from 1 species